CUGUAUAAAAUACAUAUGCCACAUUGCGUGAAAUAUAUUAUGUAUAUAUUAUAUUAACGCAUAUGACGGUUCCGUGAUAUUAUAUAUUAUUAUUAUAUUACGGUCCGUUUAAAUAUUGUCUAACGACACACGUUGAUUAUAAUUUAUAUAUCAUACGACAAUGUUAGAGAUUAUAUAUAAUAUUUGUCGAACGAUCGACGGUGUUACCGCUGAUGCGUUUUACUACGUAAGGCGGGACGCUUUCGACUCUUCGAGUUAGAGUGUUAUAUAACAAUAUCACACAUACACGAGAGGGUUGAUGACGUGUGCAUGUUUUUAAUAUUUUAUAUUAUGUAAAAAAUUAAAACAAGUUCAACGCCGUUCACAUAUCGCGAGACACAUAAAAUAUUAUCAAUCUCUUAUAUAUACAUUUGACGUAUACAAAAAAGAUAUAUAUGCCUUAAAUCAUCGACAGUAGGCGGACUCGACGUCCGAAGAGCGCAUCGACGCCGUCGUCGUUAUCGAUCGUUAUUAUUGUAAUAAAUGUUAACGUGUCGUAGCGGUUGCGUCGUCGUAACGCUGACGGAUAUCGCGUCUGCCUCAUUUUUUUAUCGUUGGCCUCAGAUCAGGGAGGAUCACCCGCCGAAUUUAAGCAUAUUAGUAAGCGGAGGAAAAGAAACUAACUAGGAUUUCCUUAGUAGCGGCGAGCGAACAGGAAAGAAGCCCAGCACUGAAUCGCGCCGUUGUUCAGGCGGCGGGAGAUGUGGUGUUCGGGAGGUUCCGCUUUCUCGUCGCGAUCGCUCCUGUCCAAGUUCGUCUUGAACGGGGCCGUUUUCCCGUAGAGGGUGCCAGGCCCGUAGCGACGGAGGAUCGCGGCGAGAGGGACUCUCCUUAGAGUCGGGUUUCUUGAGAGUGCAGCCCUAAGUGGGUGGUAA
rnacentral:sRNA from 1 species